rnacentral:ncRNA from 1 species
AGAGAAAGGCAAACCGUCCGAAAGGGCGGGACGCAAAGCCAGGAGGCUAAAGCGGCGAAAGCCGCCAGGCUCGUCCGGCUGCCGC